AGAAGUGAGGGAGGAGGACAGAGAGUUCUUCCGGGAAGGCAGCACUGAUGUAGUCUCCAUGACAAUGAAGAAGAUUCCGGGUCGUGGCUGAGGGGCCCUCCUCCUCCUGCUCCGGCUCGGCUCAGCACACAGGCUGAGUGAGAGAAGAUACUGCUGCUGCCGCCACUGCUGUCACCUGGCCUCUGAUCAACCCCCAGGCUCAGAGCAGUAACAUCUCCAGGGAGAACAUUCGAGCCUCUUCCAGGGCUCCAGAAACUCUUUCGCCCUUCUGUCGCCACCCACCUGACUCCCUCCACCCCCACUGUCCCGGGACUCAGGGAGCUGCUGCCAUAGAUUUAUUUCUCCUGUUGAUUCUCAUCUAUCCUGCUGGCGACUCCAGCCCGGAUUUAUCUGAAAGGCUGCAGCCAUCAAAUCAGAGAAUAUUAGAGCCAUGAGGCACCUGGAGAUUUUUCUGGGCCAAACCCUUCAUUUUAUAGACAAAGAAACUGAGUCUCAUUGGGGAAGGGACCCCUGAAGCUCCAGUAAUGUGUGAGGGGCUGGUUCUUCACGGCUGCACCUUCUGUCCCUACUUCAACUUCCUGGCGUAUCUCAAGGGCAAGAAUCGCUCAGCUCUGCUCCUCUCCCUUUAACUGUCUCCCUUCGCCCCAGUUCCCAGUGCACACUCAUGCUGGGAGGGGCCUGGCCUCUGGAGCCCCUUCCCCCACCUCCCCAGUCGGUACCAUCACUUCUCUACCCAGUUCCCUCCCUCUCGCUUUCCUGGCUUCCCAGGCUGGAUCCUUAUUCUGCAUGAAUCUCAUUUGGUGAGAUUUUAAAUUGCAUUUGGUUCUCUGUAUUUUUGUCUCUGCCUCACUACAAGGUAGUAACCAGACUUUUGUUUUUCUUAUCCCAGCUAUAUCUGCAGAGUUGAAAACAGAAGCUAUUUUAUGUCUCUUUUGCUUAAAACGAUGUUAUAAAUGUUGUAAAACUUAUAUUUAUUUAUUUGAGUAGGUAAGACAUUCAUAUGGUACAAAAUUUAAAAGUCAUAUAACGCUCUUUGGUGAAAUUUUUUGUGUGUGUGUGUGAGGAAGAUCAGCCCUGAGCUAACAUCUAUGCCAAUCCUCCUCUUUUUGCUGAAGAAGACUGGCCCUGAGCUAACAUCUGUGCCCGCCUUUCUCUACUUUAUAUGGGACGCCACCACAGCAUGGCCUGAGAAGCGGCGCGUCAGUGCGUGCCCAGGAUCUGAACCCCGGCCGCCAGCAGCGGAGCCCGCGCACUUAACCACUACGCCACAGGGCUGGCCCCUCUGGUGAAAUUUUAGAAUCUCUCCCCUGGGAAACUAUUUUCUCUUCCUAGAGGCAGCCAAGAUGUUCAGUUUCUUGCGCAUUCUUGGUGACACAGACCAUGCAUAUAACAAUUGCAGACCUCACACACAUACAUUAAUCCCCUCUCCUUUGUUCAU